rnacentral:rRNA from 1 species
GACGAACGCUGGCGGCGUGCCUAAUACAUGCAAGUCGAGCGAGACUCUUCGGAGUCUAGCGGCGGACGGGUGAGUAACACGUGGGCAACCUGCCUGUAAGACUGGGAUAACACCGGGAAACCGGUGCUAAUACCGGAUAAUCCUUUUCCUCUCAUGAGGAAAAGCUGAAAGUCGGUUUCGGCUGACACUUACAGAUGGGCCCGCGGCGCAUUAGCUAGUUGGUGAGGUAACGGCUCACCAAGGCGACGAUGCGUAGCCGACCUGAGAGGGUGAUCGGCCACACUGGGACUGAGACACGGCCCAGACUCCUACGGGAGGCAGCAGUAGGGAAUCUUCCGCAAUGGACGAAAGUCUGACGGAGCAACGCCGCGUGAGUGAUGAAGGCCUUCGGGUCGUAAAGCUCUGUUGUUAGGGAAGAACAAGUACCGGAGUAACUGCCGGUACCUUGACGGUACCUAACCAGAAAGCCACGGCUAACUACGUGCCAGCAGCCGCAGUAACAC